rnacentral:tRNA from 2 species
UGGGGCGUUGUGUAACGGCAGCACGGGAGACUUUGGAUCUCCUAGUCCUGGUUCGAAUCCAGGCGCCCCAGCCA